rnacentral:rRNA from 1 species
AUUGAACGCUGGCGGCAGGCCUAACACAUGCAAGUCGAACGAGUGGCGGACGGGUGAGUAAUGUCUGGGAAACUGCCCGAUGGAGGGGGAUAACUCCUGGAAACGGUAGCUCAUACCGCAUACCAUCGGAUGUGCCCAGAUGGGAUUAGCUAGUAGGUGGGGUAACGGCUCACCUAGGCGACGAUCCCUAGCUGGUCUGAGAGGAUGACCAGCCACAAUGGAACGGAGGCACGGUCCAGACUCCUACGGAAGGGAGCAGUAGGGAAUAUUGCACAAUGGGCGCAAGCCUGAUGCAGCCAUACCGCGUGUAUGAAGAAGGCCUUCGGGUUGUAAAGUACUUUCAGCGAGGAGGCGUUACUCGCAGGAGAAGCACCGGCUAACUCCGAGCCAGCAGCCGCGGUAAUUC